CAAAUUUCAGGAGGAGGGUCGCCGGAGCUCGUCACCGGAGUAACCGUGCGCCGUGAUCACGCCCAGCUCAUCACCACCGAUCGCAGCCCUAGACCAUCAUCGUGUUCCUCUCGACGAGACGAAUCCAUAGCCACCGAAAUCGUCGAAAUCGGAGCUCAGACGAAGCCGUACGAGCCUCCAGAAGAUCAGCCUUCGCGCGCGCGUGAAACAGACGCUCCGCCGUCUCUUCGCCGGAGCCGCCGCGCCCGGCCGCCGUCAGUUCGCCGCCGGGAGUCCGCCGCCGCGUCACCACCGCACCGCCGCCGCCGCCGGUGACUUUUCCGAUUUGGAGUCUAUUUGAGCAUCUGGAGUUCAUAGAUACCACUUCUCUACAUUUUCUAAGAUGCCGCCGAGGAGAGCUACUCGUGCCCAGAUCGCCAGAGAUGCUAGAGAGGCUCAGGAUGAGCAUGUUCAGCCCGCGGUUCCUCAAGUUGACCAGGAGGCUAUGAGACAGAUGGUUCAGGAUGCUGCUAGACAGGCUGCUCAGGAGGCAGUUCAGCAGGUUGCUCAGGAGGCAGCCAGGCAAGCCGCUCAAGAGGCUGCCCGAGUAGCUGCACAGGAGGUUGCCCGUCAGUUGGCUGCAGCUCAGCAGGGUCCUCAGGUUCAUGUACAGCAAGGUCCGCAGAUUCAGGUUCAGCAGGCUCCACCAGUUCAGGCUCAGCAGGAUCAUCAGAUUCCCGAUCAGCAGGUUCCCCUUCCUCAGGUCCCAUUGCAGCAUGUUCCAGCUCAGCAGUUUGCUCAGGGUGUUCAGGAUCUACCGCCACCACCACCGCGACCCCAGGUUCGCCAGGCUUAUGAUGAGACAUUCUACAGAUUGACGCGCCAUAUGAGAGACAUGGAUAUGGAGCAUUUUAGCGGGACAAUAGAUCCCAUAGCAGCGCACGAUUGGAAGUUAGCGCUUAAGCGGAAGUUGGAGAUUAUUGAGUGUCCACCGGAGUUGUCUCUCAGAUUGACUAUGCAGUACUUGCGUGGAGAUGCUCUUGUUUGGUGGGAAGGAAUUCGAUUGGAUCAUGAUGGACUCGAGAGGCUUACUUUUGAAGAUUUCAUCCGGGAGUUUGAUAGGAAGUACUUUCCGGAAGAGGCUAUGGAUAAGCAGAAGAGUGAUUUUGAUCAUAUAAGCCAGGGGGAGAUGUCAGUAAGAGAAUAUGAGCGGAAGUUUAACCAACUUCGCAGAUUUGCUGGAGGUGGUAUUACAGAAAAAGACUUGAUCAGGAGGUUUUUGAAGGGGAUGCGAGUGGAUAUUCGCAACAGAUGCCGUGUUGUUACUUACCAGAGAUUGGGAGAUUUGGUGGAGAAAGCAGCUGAACAGGAGGAAGGUUUGGCAGAAGAGAAGAAGCUUACUAGAGCAGCUCAGAUUAAGUCUGGAAAAGCUCCGGAGUCCAGAGGAGAGCAGGAGACCACUCGGGAUCACCGAGAUGUCCUCGUUGCCACCGCAGUCAUAGUGGGCAGUGUGUGAGGUGCCUUGUUUGCGGUAAGCUAGGACACAUUGCGAGGUAUUGUCGGGUUAAGCCAUUGGAUGCGCCACCAGUCGGGCAGAUUAUCGCGCCAACAGCACCAGUAGCGGCAAACCAGUUUUGUUAUGGCUGUAACCAGACGGGUCAUUUCGUCAGAGAUUGUCCCAGGAGGGGCAAUGCAGCGCUUCCACCACCACCGAAGCGCCUAGCCAUCGCCCCACGUGUGUUUACGGUUGGAGAUGCCCAGGGAGCCGAGCCGAUAGCGGGUGAGACCGCCGAGCGGGAGUGAUUCUACUGGACGGAUGCUUUUGAGUGCUUUUGGGCUUUUGGGCUUUUAUCACUCUUAUCGUUAUCUACUUUUAGGCCUUCGGGCUUUUAUCUAUCGUUUAUGUUAUUUCGUAUUUUCGGACUUACGGAUUUAUGUCGUUAUCUAUAUUUCGGAUGUUAUCGUUAUGUACGGAUUUGACCUUAUGAUAUUGUGAUGACGUGGAUGUUGACUUUGGA